UAAGAUGAAGAGGAAGAGGAAGAGUGGGUCUGGAAGACCCGCUCGUAUUCCUGGCGCUUCAUGCCGACGGUAAUGAAGGCGGCGCCGACGAAGAUGAGGAAGAUCGAGAGGAACUGGCCGGCGGAGAUCGCGCCGACGCCCCAGGCGGGGUCGGGCUCGCGGAAUAUUUCGCCAAUGAUCCGCAGCACGGCGUAGAAGAUGAAGAACGCAG
rnacentral:misc_RNA from 1 species